rnacentral:sRNA from 1 species
AGAACCUUAGAACCGAGCAGUCGCCAUGCGAGCUCGCGCGUUCCCACGCCAAAGAAAGUAAAAUACGAAAAUAGAAAUAGAAAUAGCGGUGAAGUAGUGCAGCACGCAGCACACGUGCGAUUACAUAAAGCCCACAAAUCAUCCCAACUAUCUCCGAACAUCCUGCUAGCCACACCGACAAACAAGCCAGCGAGCAAACAACAAUUAACCGCAAAUGUUUAAAGUUCAGACGCAUCGCAAAAUGUAAAGCAAUAAUCAGCUCAACAAAGCCAAAAAGCUCACAAUAGAAGCAGAGGAAGACGGCGCUGGAGGAGGCGGUGCUGGCGGGGCAGCUGAGGAGCCGGGGCGAUGCCAAAUGCCAUUAUUGGAAACUGUCGUAGUCAUAAGAUUUGCAUAGCAUAGCAAUAGGCAUCAUGAAAGGCCCAAGCGUGAUAAGCACCACAAAAAGAACAACAACAACAGAAAUAACAACAACAAAUAAAAAACUGUCUCAAGCAAUACCAAUACCAAUGCAAACUACAAU